UGAGUUGCGAACGGGUGAGUAACGCGUAGGUAACCUGCCUGGUAGCGGGGGAUAACUAUUGGAAACGAUAGCUAAUACCGCAUAACAGUAGAUAUUGCAUGAUAUCUGCUUGAAAGGGGCAAUUGCUCCACUACCAGAUGGACCUGCGUUGUAUUAGCUAGUUGGUGAGGUAACGGCUCACCAAGGCGACGAUACAUAGCCGACCUGAGAGGGUGAUCGGCCACACUGGGACUGAGACACGGCCCAG
rnacentral:rRNA from 1 species